AACAAGUACUAAGGAAGCACA
rnacentral:miRNA from 1 species